rnacentral:rRNA from 1 species
CCUACGGGUGGCAGCAGUCGGGAAUAUUGCGCAAUGGAGGAAACUCUGACGCAGUGACGCCGCGUGCAGGAAGAAGGUUUUCGGAUUGUAAACCCCUGUCAUGUGGGAGCAAAUUAAAAAGAUAGUACCACAAGAGGAAGAGACGGCUAACUCUGUGCCAGCAGCCGCGGUAAUACAGAGGUCUCAAGCGUUGUUCGGAAUCACUGGGCGUAAAGCGUGCGUAGGCUGUUUCGUAAGUCGUGUGUGAAAGGCGCGGGCUCAACCCGCGGACGGCACAUGAUACUGCGAGACUAGAGUAAAGGAGGGGGAACCGGAAUUCUCGGUGUAGCAGUGAAAUGCGUAGAUAUCGAGAGGAACACUCGUGGCGAAAGCGGGUUCCUGGACAUUAACUGACGCUGAGGCACGAAGGCCAGGGGAGCGAAAGGGAUUAGAUACCCGAGUAGUC